rnacentral:rRNA from 1 species
UGACGCUCUCCCCAAGGACGAAGCCAUGCAUGCCCGCUCACCCGGGACGCGGCGGACGGCUCAGGACGACGGUUGCACCCCCCGCGGCGGUCCCUGCUAGCCGGACACCGCUGGCAACCCGGCGCCAAGACGUGCGCGCAAGGGCGGGCGCCCGCGGGCGAGCAGCGUGACGCAGA